GGAGCAUCUCCUGGGAGGUUUGCAUUUACCCACCAGAGGGAGGCGCUCUCUACCCAUGUCACCACGUCUGCCUCAGAGUCCUGUGCACGCCCCCGUCACUGCUUCGUCAUUGACAAUGUGACAGAGAUGAGGUGGGAAGUGUAGUGGUAGAGUCGGAGGGGAUGGACUAUAGGGAGAGUGUCAGCAGCCGCAGGCAGAGAGAUGAAACAGUGAGGGGGCUGGAGGAGAAGGUCAGGCAGCUCCAGAGAGAGCUGGGGGAGGCCCAGACUGAUGCCAGGGCCCACAGGGAGCAGCUCUCCAGCCUCAAGGAGCUGAUCAAGGCGGCCUGGCAGGGGGAGUGUGUGGCUGUUGCUGAAGUCAGCAGGAUUGUGGGUGUCGCUUCGCCUCUCAUCACAGUGUCGGAUGGUGAGAGAGGUCAGUCACACCUGAGCAUUCAGCCCAAAGUGCCCAGUAAUUGGGCACCGGUGACAGAGCGUGCGGCAAAGAGGCCCGGCGCGGAGGGG
ensembl:lncRNA